rnacentral:rRNA from 1 species
GGUGACCUCGAAUCAGGUAGGAAUACCCGCUGAACUUAAGCAUAUCAAU